rnacentral:rRNA from 1 species
UACAGAGGUCUCAAGCGUUUGUUCGGAUUCAUUGGGCGUAAAGGGUGCGUAGGCGGCGCGGUAAGUCGGGUGUGAAAUCUUGGAGCUUAACUCCGAAACUGCAUUCGAUACUGCCGUGCUUGAGGACUGGAGAGGAGACUGGAAUUUACGGUGUAGCGGUGAAAUGCGUAGAUAUCGUAAGGAAGACCAGUGGCGAAGGCGGGUCUCGUGGGACAGUUCCUGACGCUGAGGCACGAAGGUCAGGGGAGCAAACGGG